rnacentral:misc_RNA from 1 species
GAGAGAGAGAGAGAGAGAGAUUAUCUGCAAACUAGAUAACAUAAAAGAGGAAAGGUGGCCUAGUCAUUGAGACGAUGAAAUCAAUUGAAAAGCUUAUUGAAAAAGAUGAUGAGAGGGUAUCCUAGCCGGUUAAGAGUUCUACCUCUUCAAUUCAGGGGUAUUUUUGACCUUUAGCCUCUGGAUUAUCCUGCUGAGGAAGGUUUGGUGUUGCCUACUCAGUCGUGUAUGUCGCUUUCUUGCCAUCCAAUGGAGUUCCAAAAAGACUUUAAUACCCUCAUUAUUUAAAAUAUUAUCGAAUUCCCUCCUUCCUUCCUUUCUUUCUUGGUUUUUUGUUUUUAAGAAUAUUAAUUAAUUAAAGGAAAAAAUUAAGGGACCUUUGAAAUUCUAAUAAUAUCAGACGCUCUUGAUCAUAUUGGUAUUUAUGGCCAUAAUUUAGUCUAAGCUAUGAUAAGAUCAAGAUGGUUCUACUAAUUCAAAAGGUGUCCAUAGAUGUUUUGGCGAGUGGAUCUUGCAGUUGCUGACCUAGUUGUUCCCUUCAUUAUCGUUGAUGAGAUGAAGCUGUUUUUGAAAUUCCAUGCAAUCUUAUUACUGAAAUUAUCAUUCAAUAAGGAGGCUUUAUUGAUCAAUUAUGUAAUAUAUGGAGAACUGUUUCAUAUUCCCCUCUUUGCAAUAAGCUGACUAAGCAAGUCUGUAUUGGGCGAAAGCGAAAUCUUUGCUCAUACUGUUUUGGUUGGGUUGGCCGUUACAAAUAUUAUCCGGUUCUUGUCCUUAGUUCUGUGAUUUAGCAAAUCUAACAUUUGUUCUGCAACUAGAAUGACUGCUGUGUCAGAAUCAAGACAGGACGUGGAGCAAUGGUUUAGUUUGAAUGAUUGCACAUGCCUUGAUUUGAUAUCAGUUUCUGAUUUCUGGUUUUCUUCAGGCGUUUUUCUCUCUGUUUCUGUCACGAUGUUUCUCAAUGUCACAUUGACAUGUCUGCCUUUGGUGCAGGUGACUAAGUUUUCUAAACAAAGAGAAGCAAAAAUUGUUCUGCUUCUCCAAAUUAAUUAAGGAUUUCCUCCGGUGCUUGACCAUGGGAAACAAUGAAGAGGGAAAGUCCUCUAAGCCUGAUAAAUCAACUUCACCUGCACCAGUGGAUCAGAACAAUAUUCAUGUCUAUCCUGAUUGGGCGGCCAUGCAGGCAUAUUAUGGCCCUCGUGUCGCGCUGCCACCAUAUUAUAACUCAGCCAUGGCAUCUGGUCAUGCACCUCAUCCAUAUAUGUGGGGCCCACCACAGCCUAUGAUGCCACCUUAUGGAGCACCUUACGCAGCAGUGUAUUCACAUGGAGGAGUUUAUGCACAUCCAGCAGUUCCAAUUGGAUCACAUCCUCAUGUUCCUGGUGUCCCAUCGCCUCCUGCUGCUGCAACACCUGUGAGUGUAGAAACACCUACAAAGUCUAUUGGAAAUACAGAUCAAGGUUUAAUGAAGAAGUUGAAAAGAUUUGAUGGGCUUGCAAUGUCAAUAGGCAAUGUGAGUAGUAAUGCGGAGAGUGCUGAGGGUGGGGACCACGAGCUGUCUCAGAGGUUUGGAACUAGCACUUUGGUUUUAGGAGACUUUCACUGUUACCUUAUAGUGGCGUCCACUUUAAGGGGAUUCUUUUAACUAUUUUUUAUGGCAGUCUAACUUUGAAACUACUUGACCAUGUGAACAGUGUGGAGACUGAAGGUUCUAGUGAUGGAAGCGAUGGAAAUACGGCUGGGGGAAGGAAAAGGAGUCGGGAGGGGAAACCAACUAUUGGUAUGAGUCCAUUCUUCACGAAGUAUUUAUCUUGAUUGACAAUAAGAUUGACCUGGAAUUGCAGCUUUCCAUAGCAUAGGGAUUUAAAUGCUGUAUGCAUUACACUUGACCUCCAUGUAGGUUAGUGAAAUGUCAAAAUUGGCCCUACUUUUGCUAAAAGCAAUGAUCAUCAGAUAUGUGAUAACACCACAAGGCUUUUGGUUUGGUAACUUGGAAAUCAGUUGGGUAAUUAUGUAAUUUGGUUUGUCAAUUCUCGUACUUAGAGCUAUGAAGUAAAAUUAAGAACUACCUCUAUUGCUGUGCACACACACACAUAAGAAAAAAAGAAAUUUGAAGUUAAGCUAUUGAAUUUAGAAAUAAUGGGGAGUCUUACAUUAUGUGUGAUCAUGAAACCUUUGUCCAUGGCAACAAAGUUGCAGUGUAUGUGCACAAUGCAUUUGAUCAAAUACGCAUGCAAAAAUAUUGAGAAAGAUAGGGAAUGCUGAGAUGCUCAUGGAAUUCAUAUUCACAUUGGUGGCUGAGGGCUAUGAAAAAAGGCUGGAUAGUUUUAGAUAAACUGGCUUAUCAUGUUACUAGUGUGGUGUUAUCAUUAGAUAUUUUUUCACUUCAUUGUUAUAAAUUUGGGCCCAAGUUUGGCACUUGUAAGUUGUAUCAGAUUAAUUUGAGAAGAUUUUAUCCUGUCAGUCACCUAUCCAUCAGCAGAAACUGUUUCAUUUUCUUUGCUGUUUAUCUUGUAUGGUCCGUUCCUUGACAAACAUAUUCAUGACUGCUUGAUUGUAGUGGAUAAUAGAUGCUCUAUGCAUGAGCCUUCUUGUUGUCCAAAUUUCUUGGUUAUGAAUACUUUCCCAAUAUAUACUUGAUCUGUUAUCGAUAGGUGGAGAGAUGAAAACGGAGAUGCAGGCCAGUAUUGUUCCUACUGGGGAGGUCAAUGGAUCUUCUGAUAAGGUAUUGGGUGCUGCUGUCGCUUCUGCUGGUGUUUCAGGAAAAUCUCCAGGAUCUGUAGUUUCUCCUGGCACGAGCACAGCAUUGGAACUCAGGAACCCUCCUCUGAAUGCUGCUAAGACAAGUGCAACUAGCAUUCCACAACCUUGUCAAGUUCUGCCUUCUGAAGCCUGGUUUCAGAAUGAGCGGGAGCUGAAACGGGAGAGGAGGAAACAAUCAAAUCGAGAAUCUGCUAGAAGGUCAAGAUUGAGGAAACAGGUAGAGAAAUAUGAAACUGCUGUUAGUUUGAAUCUAAUUGGUCCUAAACUAUUCUUUGUUAUCCUCUUAUCUAGGCUGAGACUGAAGAACUUGCUCAUAAAGUGGAAUCCUUGACUUCUGAAAAUUUGGCACUUAAAUCAGAAAUAAAUCAAUUGACCAAGAAAUCAGAGAAACUAAGGCUGGAAAAUGCAUCAUUACUGGUGUGCCCUUGUAUUCUUUCUGUCAACUUUCACCUCUGAAAUUCUUGACUUUUCCACACAAUUUCAAGUUUUUAUUAAUAUUUGAGGUGGUUCAAUGUACAGGAGAAGCUAAAAAAUUCACAUUUAGGACACACACAAGAGAUUAUUUUGAACAGCAGUAACGAGCAGAGGGCCUCAGCUAUUAGUACAGAGGACCUGCUGUCAGGAGUUAAUAAUUCUGCCUCUGUCGAUAGAAACCCUGGGGAAGAGGGGGAGCUGUAUGAGAGAAGCUCAAACUCGGGUGCCAAGCUGCAUCAACUCUUGGGUGCAAGUCCAAGGGCCGAUGCAGUGGCCGCUAGCUAAUUUUAGAAACUAGUUUGUCUAGAGUCUCUUUUCAUCUUAAAUUUAGAGGCAACCAAGUAGUUUUGGCAUAUUACAAGCCCAAAAUUACUCCUAACAACUAGCAGAGGGAUGGAAUGGCUGAAAAAAAUUGGUAUCCAUCUCUUAUACUUUCAAUCAACUUGUAAGUUAGCUUUCUCAUGGCAGGAGUGAUAUAUUUUAUCAGAACUCUGGGUGCUGGAAUGGUCACUGAAAAAGGUAAUGUAAAUUGAAAAGAAUUAGAGCUUUGAUUUUAGAAAAGAUGUCGAAACUUUAAAUAUGCAACUGUUUGUGCGAUUUUCACUAACGUAUACAUUUAUGAUACGUGUAUGAGAAAGAACAGUACUUGAGAAUAUGAAUGCUUGCUGAUUACCAUUGUAGUUUGGACCUGAGGCUUAUUGAUUCUGGGCAGUUUAGCUGAUUUCGAUUCAAGAUAAUUUAGGAUUGAUUUUAGUUUUUAAGCCGUUUAAUUUAAAUUUUAAAUUAUUGAUGAGAAUCAAUUUCGAAUUUCACAAUCUGAUUUAGGACCUGAAUAAGCCGUGAUAGGUCUGUUUAUGUAAAAUUUCAUUUUAUAAUUUAUAGCGAGUUAAAUCCAUUUUUAUUUCCGUGGAUUACAUAAAUUUACAAGUAGCUCCAUGAAAAGCAGCGAAGGGCAAAGCAAAAAUGAAGCCCAUGACGUAG